GGGGAUUUAGCUCAGUGGCAUAAGCACCUGCCUUGCAAGCAGGCAGUUGUGAGUUCGAUCCCCAUUUUUACCG
rnacentral:tRNA from 1 species